rnacentral:rRNA from 1 species
GUUAGGAAUAUUGGACAAUGGGCGCAAGCCUGAUCCAGCCAUGCCGCGUGAACGAUGAAGGCCUUCGGGUUGUAAAGUUCUUUAGCCGAUGAUUAUAAUGACUGUAGUCGGAAAAUAAGCCCCGGCUAACUUCGUGCCAGCAGCCGCGGUAAUACGAAGGGGGCGAGCGUUAUUCGGAAUCACUGGGCGUAAAGCGUGCGUAGGCGGUCUCGUAAGUUAGGAGUGAAAGCCCAGGGCUCAACCUUGGAAUUGCUCUUAAUACUGCAAGGCUAGAAUCUCGGAGAGGAUAGCGGAAUUUCCAGUGUAGCAGUGAAAUGCGUAGAUAUUGGAAGGAACACCAGUGGCGUAAGCGGCUAUCUGGACGAGUAUUGACGCUGAGGCACGAAAGCGUGGGGAUCAAACAGGAUUAGAAACCCUGGUAGUCC